rnacentral:lncRNA from 1 species
ACUUAAUACUUUAAAUUAUAUAAAGUUGUAGCAAUUCCAUUUGGUUGAAUAUGCGUCUGACAGUGACAUACCAUUUGUCUACGUUCAAGAUUGAAUGGGUGAAGAAAUGAUACAUUUUUUUGUAUGUUUACUCACUUUAUCUUGAGGCCAUUAAGGUUAACCCUAUUACUGCCACGACACAUCAACCACAUACCAUAUUGUUUUUUACUAUACUAAAAUAAUCACCUGAAGUCUGUCUUUUUCAGACAUUACAGCAUUUUAGACAUUUACAGUAUAACAAAAUGAGGGAAGUCAAUUAAAUAUAAUCAGUCUGUGGCCGCUAUCACUCCACCUUAGUCAGGUAAGGAAGUGAUUCAGAACAUACCUAUUUUCCUGGCAUCUGAUUGGCUGCUUCUGUCGAUGGACAGUGCAUACGUUUCCCUUCCCUUUGUACAAUGUCUCAUGUGAACAGUACCAUUUGUUUCUUAGGUCAAAUUGUUCUUGGUCAUAUUCUCGAUUCUUCUUGAACGUUAUCAAAGAUAAGGUAACUGUAAAGUCAUUUAUACAGUCCUUCUAUGAGCUCUUUAAUGAGUGUUAUGGUUAUGUUAUUUUUGCCAAUGUGUUUGGUGAAUUGAUUUUAACAUUGUCAUUUCUUCAAGGUCUUUGAGAUGAUUGUGGCAAUUCAACUGACAAGUAUUGCGAUUGAAGUAACUGCUGUACUCGUAAGAAUCUUUCUAUUUGACAAAUAAUUGUUAUUCUAGGAUUUCUUUAGUAUCCCCUUAAAAAGAGACAUAUUUUACAAAGUGUUUUUAAUUACAUGGUAGGAACUAGGCAGGCCAGACUUUCAUGCUUAUUAAAAAAACGCUGAAUUCUUUUUGUUUUUUUGGGCCGAAAAUCAGGCACAUGAUGACUAGGAGGUUAAGAAUAUACAUAUGUCGGAUUUGAUCAGUUUCGUCACAGGGGUAAAAUAAUCCUGCAGCUGGAUACAUUUGGUAUGUUUGUACAUUGCCCUACAAUAGUAGAACAUAUAUUCUGUCUGAUGCUUUAGCGUUUGAGCAAGUGAGAGAGAAAGAGGGUUUUCAGUGAAUUUAUGUAAAUCACAAGGCUUGUUUGAAUUUUCUGCGGUGCAGGAACAUUCUCAGCGACCAAAGCGUGAUACAAUUAAGAUACUACACCUGUAUGGGAUGUGAGAGCUUAUAAAGCAUUUGACUAUAUUUCACCAUAUAAGUACCUGGUACAGCUCUACCACAAGCAGAGCUAAGAGGAGACCUAGUGCAGAGACGCCCAUCAGUGGAGUCCUCAGCUUCAGACCCAGUACUGCUUCAGACCUGUGUCGCUGAGCAGCAGGGUCCCCAGGGUGGAUCUUAGCCCCAGACCUGGACCCUGCAGGGGUCUGUCGCCCAGCCCAGACCACUGCCCCCUCAUCCUCAGCACCACAAGGGAAUCAGCUGGCUUUCACAGUAAACCCAGUGGCACCAGUCGCUCCACAAUCACAAUCAGUGCAACCAGCACAGGUAACACAGUCUGACCAACAGCAACAGCAGCAGCAGCAGCAACAGCAGCAACAGCAAUAGCAGAUGGCAGGUAGAAUGGGUCUCAUUGGGGAAGUACUUGCCCGGUUUAGGGAGAAGCAUGCUCACAGCCAGUCAGCCCAUCAGCACUGUGGCCUGAAAUCCAGAGCUUCCCUCCUUCAGUCUGCCCUCGCCUGGCCUCCUACCCACCAUGGGGUUCUCUCCUGGGGGUCUCCCCAGCAGACAGGCCAUCUAUCCUGGGUUGGUGGCCAACGUAGGUCUGCCUAUCCCUGGAGCCUUGCAUGAUACCACGGACCCUGCCUUUGGUCUGGACACAGCCACUCCCCCACCACUGGUCUAGCACGGUCACCAAUCAAAUUACCACGCUGACACACACCUGGAGACUGUGUCCACUACCCUGAGUGUUGCCAUGGAGACCAACACGGACAUCAAGCCUUGAGAAAAAUACCCACCACCCCUCAGAUAGAGAUUGUGUUAAGAUACAAAUUGAAGUUGCAUUGAGAGUGUUAAUAUCUGAAAGGUUUUGUGUUAAUGGGUAAUAAUGAAACAUGUAGUCUUCGAGUAGUACUGGCGAGUAGGAGUUGUAUUUAUAUGUGUUGCAUUUGUUCAAUAAUAUUUCAGUGUUUUACUAUGUAUUUAGCAUUAACAGGGUUGCAAGUUAAUUCUUGACCGUGUUGUGAGUUUCGGUGUAUAAAGUCCUACAAGAAAUGCUAAUAAAACCCCAGACCAGCAUUUUGACAACCUCUUCAGUCA